rfam:Pan troglodytes isolate Yerkes chimp pedigree #C0471 (Clint) chromosome 12, whole genome shotgun sequence.
GCCAGGCAUGGUGGCAUGUACCUGUAGUCCCAGCUACUUGGGAGGCUGAGGUGGGAGGAUCACCUGAGCCCAGGAGGUCAAGGCUGCAGUGAGCUAAGAUUGUGCCACUGCACCCCAGCCUGGGCAACAGAGUGAGACCCUGUCUCAA